rnacentral:rRNA from 1 species
UACGUAGGGUGCGAGCAUUGUCCGGAAUUAUUGGGCGUAAAGGGCUCGUAGGCGGUUUGUCGCGUCGGGAGUGAAAACCUUGGGCUUAACUCAGGGCUUGCUUUCGAUACGGGCAGACUAGAGGUAUGCAGGGGAGAACGGAAUUCCUGGUGUAGCGGUGAAAUGCGCAGAUAUCAGGAGGAACACCCGUGGCGAAGGCGGCUCUCUGGAACGCAACUGACGCUGAGACGCGAAAGCGUGGGGAGCAAACAGG